rnacentral:piRNA from 1 species
UGUAAUUUCCAAUCGACCUCUAAAUACUUA